UGGUGCAUUACUGGGCAUGUUCUCGUUUGGCAGAAAGGCACAUAAUUGCAUGUGGUUUACUUGAGCCAUAAAGUGAUAAUAGUGUAGAUCCGCCAAAGGAGAUUUGCCCAGCAAUUCAUUA
rfam:Helianthus annuus linkage group 16, whole genome shotgun sequence.